AGGGCCGAAGGCAGUGUGGUUAAUACCCCCCGACAAUGAGGUUACUCGCAGAAGAAGCACCGGCUAACUCCGUGCCAGCAGCCGCGGUAAUACGGAGGGUGCUCGCGUUAAUCGGAAUUACUGGGCGUAAAGCGCAUGCAGGCGGUUUGUUAAGUCAGAUGUGAAAUCCCCGUGCUUAACGUGGGAACUGCAUUUGAAACUGGUGAUCUAGAGUCUUGUAGAGGGGGGUAGAAUUCCAGGUGUAGCGGUGAAAUGCGUAGAGAUCUGGAGGAAUACCCGUGGCGAAGGCGGCCCCCUGGACUAAGACUGACGCUCAGGUGCGAAAGCGUGGGGAGCAAACAGGAUUAUAUACCCUGGUAGUCCACGCUGUAAACGAUGUCUACUUGGAGGUUGUGCCCUUGAGGCGUGGUUUUCGGAGCUAACGCGUUAAUUGACCGCCUGGGGAGUACGUCCCAAGGUUAAAACUCAAAAUGAUUUGACUGGAUCCUUUAUUA
rnacentral:rRNA from 1 species